CCAUCCGUCAUGGGAGAACCGGCCUAAGGUGCCGGUGCCGAAGGAGCAACCGCCCCGGAAACUCUCAGGCAACAGGACCGUGACAGGAUA
rnacentral:ncRNA from 1 species